UGGAGAUCAGCCCUGGAGUAACACACCCCACUGAGGUCGUCUGAGAGUGAAGAACUUUCCGUUUGAGAAGAUGGUCGACGUGCUGAACGUGUGUUAGAAACAUCCGCUGAGUCAGAUGAUCACAACAGGAUGUGACACCACACACACACACACACACACACACACAUUGUUACAUCGACUCAUGACCCAGCAGCAUCAUGUGACCUCUGACUGACUCACACACACACACAACUGAGGGCCCAUAAGUGAAGCCAGAUCAACUGGAUCGCCCCCUGGUGUAUUGCUGCACUAUAGGUCAUGAGCCCCGCCUCCUCCAUGUUAGUACACAGGACAUAGACUGAACUAAAAAAAUCAAAGUAUUAAAUAAAUGUCAAAGACGGUUUCUGUCAUUUCACAUGAUAAUGUUCACAUAAAUUAAAUCAGCAAAUUGUUUCUGCUCUAAAGUAAAAUAAACAUUAAAUCUGCUGAAUUAUCUGUGAAUGAUUUGAAAAACAUCUGGAACAAAGGAAAUCAAAGGAAACGUUUAAUGAUGAUAUAUAUUAUAAAACUUUAAAGGGCUGUUCCACUACUUUACACAUAAAUGUGACGAUCUCUCAGCCAAUGAAAAAGCUGUAUUUGCAUUAUGGGAAAUCAAGGCUCUGAUUUAAAGCUGGUUUCAUCCCUUUUUAAUCCAAAUAAUUUCAUAUUUACAUUGAGUUGUGAUUUACACGUCUCUGUCUCAUGUUCACGUCCUGCAUGUGUCCUUCAUCCUUUAUUUU